GCCCACGUAGCUCAGUUGGCAGAGCACGCCCUUGGUAAGGGCGAGGUCAUGGGUUCAAAUCCCAUCGUGGGCU
rnacentral:tRNA from 1 species